CUUAGCAACUGUCUAAAAACAACAAUGGGGGCGCUUCGUGCACUCCGCCGCCCCUCACCGUCGAGAUAUGAUAUAAACGCACAUGGGACCGCCCUCGAUCUCACCGCGCGCUGCCCUCGCCUCUCGCUCUCCCUCUCCUCUCUCUCCCGUCUAUCUAGCCGCCCGCCGUCUCUGCGAUCGCGCCCCGAUGGCAUCCGCUUCUGUCGCUCUCAUCCCCUCCGCCCGCCUCCCCAGGAUCUCCGUCCAUGGCGGCCUGAGGUCGCUCCCCAGGAACCUCUCGAGAUCGAGGGUUUCCAUGAGCAUCUCGGUCGGAUCUCGCGUGUCUGCCGCCGAGGAUACCCUCUUUCAGGACUACAAGCCUUCCUGCGCCUUUCUUUUCCCCGGUCAGGGUGCACAAACUGUGGGAAUGGGGGUGGAAGCUCAGAGUGUGCCAGCAGCUGCUGAUUUAUUCAAGAAGGCGAAUGAUUUACUUGGUUUCGACCUCUUGGAUGUUUGCACCAAUGGACCAAAAGAAAAGCUUGAUUCAACAGUUAUAAGCCAGCCAGCUAUCUAUGUCACUAGUCUAGCUGCUGUGGAAGUGCUACGUACACGUGAUGGGGGGCAGGAUAUAAUUGAUUCUGUAGAUGUCACUUGUGGUUUGAGUUUGGGUGAAUAUACAUCCCUUGCAUUUGCUGGUGCUUUCAGCUUUGAGGAUGGUCUCAAGCUUGUCAAGCUAAGAGGAGAGGCCAUGCAGGAUGCUGCAGAUGCUGCUAGUAGUGCCAUGGUUAGUGUAAUAGGACUGGAUUCAGAAAAGGUACAAUUGUUAUGUGAUGCUGCUAAUGAGGAAGUAGACGACAAGGAGAAAGUUCAGAUAGCAAAUUUCUUAUGUCCAGGUAAUUAUGCUGUUUCUGGUGGUGUGAAAGGAGUGGAAGCUGUUGAAGCAAAGGCAAAGUCAUUUAAGGCGCGAAUGACGAUUGUAUAUCAGAAGAAGGGGCCAUGGAUGUUGAAACAAGGAAUCUGGGUAUUUUCUGUCAUCAGGUACGUCUUGCUGUUGCUGGUGCUUUUCAUACUAGAUUCAUGGAGCCAGCUGUCUCAAGAUUGGAAGCAGCAUUGGCAACAACAGAAAUUAGAACUCCUAAAAUACCAGUUAUUUCCAAUGUGGAUGCACAACCGCACUCAGAUCCUGAUAUGAUCAAAAAGAUUCUAGCACGUCAGGUGACUUCACCAGUUCAGUGGGAGUUGACGGUGAAGACUCUCUUGAGCAAAGGGCUGAAGAAAAGCUAUGAACUGGGGCCUGGAAAGGUUAUUGCAGGAAUCGUGAAGAGAAUGAAUAAGGGUGCUGACAUUGAAAAUGUUGGUGCUUGAGAGCUUCCUUAAAAUAAUGCCUUUCUAGACAAUCUUUCUGUAACUGCCUUUCUUUGUCGUUGGUGAUGCUCGGACUGCUGCCCAAAUUGCUGCUUCAAGUCCAGAGGCCGGCUUGCUGUGCAAAACCCACAAGGCAUGCAGGAGCGUAGAUCAUGAGUUGAGCUGCACCUUUUUAAAUUAUUAAUUUUUAGGCACCGUGAUGCUUAGCUUUGGAGCCUACGAAAUAGCCCAAGAAGACAGUAUGUUUUGUAAUAGUGUCUUUUACAUUGCAGCUUGACAGCAGCACUUCUUUUAGUUCCAAGCCAUCACGUGAGAACGUGUGGUCGGUCCAUUCUAAUUUUCAAGUCAGUUGGAAUAAUCAAGAUCAUGAUUAGUGGGCGGCUCCUUGUUGAGGUUUCCAUGUUAUACUCAGGUCUUUCUCGCCAGUUGUCUAACCAUAUUCUUUUAUCUAUAUUUGUUGGUCUUGUUGCAAUCAAAAUAUAUGCAGAUCCGUUUGUUUUUUUGAUUA